UACGUAGGCAGCGAGCGUUGUUCGGAGUUACUGGGCGUAAAGAGUGCGUAGGCGGUUUUCUAAGUUUGGUGUGAAAUCUCCCGGCUUAACUGGGAGGGUGCGCCGGAAACUGGAAGGCUUGAGUAUGGGAGAGGUAAGCGGAAUUCCUGGUGUAGCGGUGAAAUGCGUAGAUAUCAGGAGGAACACCUGCGGUGUAGACGGCUUACUGGACCAGAACUGACGCUGAGGCACGAAAGCGUGGGUAGCAAACAGG
rnacentral:rRNA from 1 species